GUAGGUGAACCUGCGGAAGGAUCAUUAAAUAAUAUACACGGGGGGCCGGACCCACUGUACGGAACGCUUGCGUGAACGUAUUUUGACCCGCCCUGUCUGAUAUUAUACCCUUGACUUUGCGUACCAAUCGUUUCCUUGGUGGGCUUGCCCGCCAGUAGGACACUAUAAAACCUUUUGCAAUUGCAGUCAGCGUCAGAAAACUUUAAUAGUUACAACUUUCAACAACGGAUCUCUUGGUUCUGGCAUCGAU
rnacentral:misc_RNA from 1 species